GUUGGCUGAUGUAGGGGUGGCCCCAUGAACAGCUCGCGGGAACAAUGCACGUGCAAAAUGGGAUAAGGGCGUGCCCGCUAGCAGGAAUGAUCGAGGGUGGAUUUCGUCUGAUAAAUAACAAGGUUUAAUUUCAAGAACAGUUCUGCGAAGAUCUGGCCCGGACAUUGGCAUCUUUAAGAAAUUCUUCAUCGCUGUAAGCUAAAGAGAAGGUUAUCACUUGUUACUGUAUCCUGGUGUAAAUGUGCUUAGUAAACUUUUUAGCAAACGCAGCUCGUCUUGUCUGACUUCGCUGUUGGCACUUUAAAGGUAAUAAUUGAGGUCUACGACCUUUCUAAUCAAGAACAGGACUUUUGUAAUCACGGGAGCGGCACUCAUCACGCGCCAGAACUGCACAUGGCCAGCACGUGCUGUGUCCAUACACCCAAUAAGGAUUUUAUGAAUAUCAAGGUGGUCGCCCCUUCUCCUCCCUGGCUACGCCCCUGUCUUACCACUAGCAACGCCCGGGUCUAAUCCACGAGUAAAAGCUUUUUUUGCUGCUGCCAAAGCUGCACGAACUAAAGGUCCUCUUCCUGCUCCAACUACCAUCAAGACUCUAAUAAAAACAAAU